CUGAUUAUAUCAGAGUUAAUUGGCACUGUUGACCUGCCAGUCUAAUAGUUAAGAUGUUUAUUCCUUACAUAUAAUGGUGGAAACAUAAACAACUUACCAGAACAAUGGUCAUGAGUAGAAAUAUGUUACCUACCAUGUCUGCACAGGGGAAGUCUUCUGCAAUGGUGAAAAUCUGAUCUUUAAUUCCCAGGGGAGGAAGGAUUGCUUUCCUUAAAUUUGUGUUGUCUCAUCACUUUUCAAAGUGCCCAUGCUUAUACACUUCCAGAUCAUAGUCCAUCAGCAGGUGAAGUCAGGGCAGUAACUGAAGCAGGGGUGAAACCCGAAGGUUUGAUGUUAUGAAGGUGAAAGAUCCUUUUAUAUGACUUUUUCCUUGGAGUUCGGCAAGUAUUCGAGGACUACUGAAAAGUCCUUCAAUGAUCCAAUUGGCUAAGGAAACUUGAAGAUAUGCAGGUAUUAUGAAAAAUGGUGAAGUUCUGGCACUUGGG
rnacentral:lncRNA from 1 species